GUAAAGAGUUUCUUGACAGUGUCAAAUAUGAGUAAUCUAAGUUUUUGUUGUUUUUUAAGUUUCACCCUUAUUGUUUUUGUUUCUGUUUUUUAUAAUUUAAUUUAAAAAUAUCUAUCAAACAGUAACCCAUUGAAAAAAAUUACCUAAAUUAAACAAAAACUCUUUAUUUUUGCACAUAAAGUAAAAAAAUUGAGUUUUUUUCCACUGUGUAAAGUGUUUCUUGACAGACUGUAUAUAGACUGUCUAAAAGCAGACUCUCCAUUGGGGAAGGAGUGAUUUAGCUCCGCUGACCACAACCGCACAAGAAAAGAUAUGUUAACAGUUGGAUUUGUCGCCUUCGCUAGAGAGACAAAGAAAGAAAACAAACUGUUUUCAAGCGCUGACUUUCCGCUCGAACAUCGGCCAUACUUUCAUUUCAAUUGGACACGUCGACCACAGAUAACAUUAUUCUGAAAAAUAAUUGUGUCUCUAAAAUAAUUAAUUAGUGCAAGUGCCAAGCUGUUUAUUUAUCGGUGAGAUAGAACGGCUAACACUAAAAAAACAAGUAAGAGGCUCCCUGAACCCUCCAAGCUGGUAUUCUAUUCAUUCUGCACUUCUUUUAUGCAUACAUGCAAACAUACGCAUCCACACGUACGUAUAAGCACACGCUCUGCUAAAGCACAAGUUUCUAGUACUUGGCUACCAAAAAUCUGUAAAAUUUAUCGGAUGAAUUAUCGAAAAAAAUAUGAUAAACUGGCAUUGCGUAUGGUACAAACGAGUAUGCAUGUUUCAACUCUCUAGCUCUGAUAACUUCUGAGAUGGACGCACUCAUACGCACGGACAGACAGACAAAUAGAGAUACAAAUUAUUAACAAAAAACACAAAUUACAAAAAGGAUUGCAAAAAGAGCAAAUUAUCAACAAUACUUAUUCUGUGUAGAAGCGAUCGACUGAAGAAAUCGCUACGAAAAGCAGCAUUGAACACCAGAGAAUGUAGAAGUCUUAUCAGCACAGACGUAGAAAACCCCGAAAUAAGCCCAGUUAAGGUGUCUGCAGCAUCAAAACAGAUUAUUGGAACACAUGUAAGUGAUACUACUAUUCGCAGUAGGUUAAAGGAUGUUGACAUAAACACCGCAGUGCAGCCUUUUACCAGAUUUGGAGGUGGAACAGUAAUGUUUUUCGGUUGCAUGUCAUACUAUGGUUUUGGAGAUUUGGUGCCAAUAGAAGGCACUCUCAAGGAUAUCUCAGGAUAUCUACAGUCGGAAAAAAAGAUUAGGUACGCGCCUUAAAUCAACAUUUAUUUUAAAAAAUACUCUUUAAAUUAUAUGAACAAUUAUAAACUACGAUUAGUUUACAUAUAAGAGAGGUAUUUAUUUAUGAAAUAGGCAAACAGAAAUUAGUUUGCUUCAUAUAUGACCUUUUUAGACGGGAAGGUGUAUGCGAAAUUGGCCGAACGAUGGGGGCCACAUCUGGAGUUGGGAAACUGGUAUUUAUAGAUACCAAAAUGGACAAGUAUUACUAUUUGAGAAUAUUGAAAGAUAAUCUCAAUGAGAGCGCGACUCAGCUCCAGUUAGGUGAAGGUGUGGUUUUGUAUAAUUCAAAGCAAUUACAUACUCCAGGCCUCAAUCCAAUUGAGCACAUUUGGAAUUUACUUGGUACAAGGAUCCCUAAUGUCGGCUUUGAGCUCCGAGUUGGUUAAACCAAACCAACCAAACCAUUGGUACGGAGUAUGCGUCGCCGACUGCUUGCAGUAAUUGGUGCAAGAGAUGGCCCUACUAAAUAUUAAUACAUAAUUAGACUUAGUUUUUUUUAAGUGUACGAGAAACAAUCUAUUUCCAACCAUUGACUGAGUAUGGCAGUAAGAUACUACUCCCUGCCAUAAAAGAUCAAUACCCUCAAAGUUUUUGAGGGACUUAAUCCAAGCCGUUCUACCCUGGCCUGCGCAAAGUCCGGACCUUAACAUUAUUGAAAAUGUUUGGGAAAUCUAAGAUUAUUAUUCUGGCAAAUAAAAUACCCCCAUCGGGUCGGUGUACUAUUGAAAUUA